CAUCAUUAAGCUUGUCGGAAAGAUGGGGGGAGUGGGAUAAUACUGAAAUCCAUUACUUGCAAAACCAUGUAGAGAACAAGAGACUUAAAAGGAGGCAACAGAUUCUUUUUGCGUGGAUGCAAUCGUGAGCUCCUCCCUGGGACUUUGUGUAACUCCCUUGAUCAAACCUCCAAGACUCUCCCAUGAAAUGUGGCUUCUGACCUGAUCAUCAAAGCUACCGCAGCUCACUGUUGGUCCGAUGGCAGCUGAAAGGGCAAAUGAGAAAGGCUGUAAAUCAAGGAUAUGACAAAUGGGUGCUGCAACUGUUCUGUCCUUGAUCGGGUGUCUGGUGCUCAAUAGAUGCCCAAAUACCGCAAGAAGGUGGUAAGUUGGUUGAAGCAUUUUAGGAAAAGUUACGGAUCUGACAAACAAAACAAUAAACUAAAUCAAACCAGGAAUUCUGUUUACUGAUUCUUUGGCUAACAAAGGCAUACCUCCAGGCCUCCAAGCUGUUUCAGAACAGGCAUCAGAUCUACCCCUCCGAUGCAGCAUCAGCAAGACCAAACAGAAACAGAGAGAGCUUUGAGUGCUCUUCUUCACCUUAGUCCUCUGCAGG